rnacentral:rRNA from 1 species
GACGAACGCUGGCGGCGUGCUUAACACAUGCAAGUCGAACGGAAAGGCCCUGCUUUUGUGGGGUGCUCGAGUGGCGAACGGGUGAGUAACACGUGAGUAACCUGCCCUUGACUUUGGGAUAACUUCAGGAAACUGGGGCUAAUACCGGAUAGGAGCUCCUGCUGCAUGGUGGGGGUUGGAAAGUUUCGGCGGUUGGGGAUGGACUCGCGGCUUAUCAGCUUGUUGGUGGGGUAGUGGCUUACCAAGGCUUUGACGGGCAGCCGGCCUGAGAGGGUGACCGGCCACAUUGGGACUGAGAUACGGCCCAGACUCCUACGGGAGGCAGCAGUGGGGAAUAUUGCACAAUGGGCGGAAGCCUGAUGCAGCAACGCCGCGUGCGGGAUGACGGCCUUCGGGUUGUAAACCUCUUUCGCCUGUGACGAAGCGUGAGUGACGGUAAUGGGUAAAGAAGCACCGGCUAACUACGUG